AUGGGGAACAUCAUUUCUACUCAUACUCCAUUGGCUCACUUACCUGCAAAGACUCUGAGAAAUGAGUCCUGCAGUGUGCCCAGGAGGAAGAGAGACACUGGUGAGCACAAACAUUCUCCGCUGCAAUUGGCAACACUCCCAGCCAAAUCAUUACGUAACCACCUCUGCUCCAGCUGUGAUCAGGUGAAUAAUCUUUGUACACUUGGACUGCAUUUUGAAGACAGAGAAAAAGAAAGUAUACUUGAAAAGCAACUUAAGAUAUUUUUCGAAGCUGCCAAGUUGUCAAACUUUGAUUCUUGUGAGGUGCUAAGAACAAGCACAGGAGGGUGA
rnacentral:lncRNA from 1 species